AAAAGAGAGAUCUGAGGGGGGAGUGAUGAAGAAAGAGGGUAGAGGGCUGAGCAGGAAGAUGACUAAAAGGAAGAGGAAUGAUGGUGGAAGGCAGAGGACUGAGGGGGAGUGACUGUAAAGGCGACCGAUGCGCCAUUCCAAAGGCAUAGGACAUCGCAGGAAGGAGAUGUAUUUCGCUUCAGGAUAUCCUAAAAUGCAUACUCCUGGGUCCUACGCUGAAAACGAUCAGCCUGCCCUUCUUGUCUACUUCUCUUUCUCUCCUCUCUCCCUCCCCAGCCUCCAACCCACUCAGUCUGACACUAGUUUUAGUUAGAAAGGCAGCAGGGCAGUCCGAAAAAAAUAAAUGCCUGCAACGUCACAGUCUCGCGAGAUGUGAUCUUGAACGUCUAGAUGAGCUGUCCGGAAGGAGCUAAGGAUCUCGCUGCUGUAAGGUGUUUAAACACCUAUUAGGGACUGCGUGCUGUGUUAAGGAAAUCUGUCCAACAAAUAAAGUGGGGUUUUUGGCCGGUACGUGCAAUACUUUUGAGUAACCGGGACUUUAUAGUACUGAUACAAAAACACGCAACCUCAGAGGACAGCUUGAGCUAUUUCAUCAUCUUCCUAGGACAAUGUUUAAGAAGCUGAAACAGAAGAUCAGUGAAGAGCAGUCCCCUUCGAAGAGCCCCCUUGCGCCAGAUCAGCAGGGUCGUCAAAGAAGCACAUCAGCAGGCAACAGAAGUAGAACUUCUUCAGUGACCGAACAGCAGGAUGACAGCCUGGCAACAUCAGACAGAGAGCUGCUGGCCGGGAUGAUAGCAGAGCCCGCUUUACUGUCUGAGUACACAGUUUUUGCUCUGGACCGUAGCAAAAGGUCCAAACAACAGAGUGACAGUGUGAAUGGAUCAUUGUCGGACAAUAAUGGGAAUGACCCCAUAUCUUCUCAGAGGAAUGAACCUCAGUCUUUUGCACAGAAGCUCCAAAUGCGAGUUCCUUCAAUGGAAUCACUGUUCAGAAGCCCCAUUAAAGAAUCACUUUUUUCAUCUUCAACCAAAGAAAAUCUUUUACGGAGCGGUUCGCGGGAUUCCUUGAAUAAGAUUGAUAUGGAAAAUCCAGGCACAGCAUUUGAUCCUCCAUCUGAUAUUGAAAGUGAAGCUGAGGAUUCUGUGGGAAGUGUAGAAGGACUUAACAAAGAACAAUUGUUUAAUCGUCUACAUCGAAUGGAUAAAAGUUUAGGAAACUACAGAGGAAAAUAUUCUGAGCUUGUAACAGCAUACAGAACUCAGCAAAGAGACAAAGAAAAACUGCAGUCUAUCUUGAGUCAGAGCCAGGACAAAGCACUAAGGAGAAUUGGAGAGCUGCGAGAGGAGCUUCAGAUGGAUCAACAGGCCAAGAAGCAUCUACAGGAAGAGUUUGAUGCAUCUCUGGAAGAGAAAGAUCAACAUAUAAGUGUACUGCAGACACAGGUUAGUUUGCUUAAAAAGCGACUUCAAAAUGGACAAGGCAGUAGUGAUGUACCAGAAUGCGCAGCCUCACCAGAGCCUGAUGCUGAGAGAUCCCUUCAAGAGGUAGAUGCAGAUAACGGUUCCACCCCUGAUGCAGACGGGAAUGCUACAAGCACUUUAAAUGCUCUCCAGGUUAGAGUAAAACGCCAAGAGAACCUUUUGCAAAGGUGCAAGAAAUCAAUCAGGUCACACAAGGAGCAGUGUGUUAACCUCAGUAGUGAAAAUGAAGCUCUUCAAAACCAGCUCCAUGAGAGGCUUCAGGAACUGGAGAAAAUGAAAGAGCUUCACACUAGUGAGAAGACUAAACUGAUUACCCAGCUAAGAGAUGCCAAGAAUUCAAUUGAACAACUGGAGCAAGAUAAGGGUAUGAUGAUUGCAGAAGCCAAACGACAGAUGCAUGAGACAUUAGAACUGAAGGAGGAAGAGAUUUCUCAGCUUCGGUUGAGGGUCAAGAAACUAAAUUCACAGUGUGAGGAUCUGCAGCAACAGAAAGAGACAUUCGAGAAAGCUGCAUUUGAAGAUGCAGAAAAAACAGUUAUUGCAUCACAGAAAACUGAGGAUGUUUUGGAAAAGCUGCAGAUGGAAGAGCAAAUUAAAGCUAUAGAAAAGGCCAGUGAGGAAGAGCGUGUGAAUCUUCAGAGAGAAUUAAGUCGCGUGAAACAAGAGGUGGUGGACAUUAUGAAGAAAUCCUGUGAUAGCCGUAUCAGUGAGAUUGAGAAUGUCCAUGCAGAGGCCUUGUUGAAUAAAGAGCAGGAGUAUAAUGAGCAGAUGCGCCUGAAGGAACAAGACUUCCAGGAUCAACUUAAUGCAGUCCUUAAGAAGAAUGAGGAGAUUUUAAAUUUACAACAAGAUAAAGAAAAGAGUUUAAUGGCCCUAGAAGAGCUUGAGCAACAGAAAAAGACCCUUGAGUGCAGCACAGCAGAACAACUUAAAGAAAUGCAACAAGAAGUUGAAUGUUACAGAACGAGGAUUCUUGAACUUGAAAGUUCUGUUGCGGAGGAGAGUAAAUCCCAAGAUUUUGCAAGCCUGAUUGAGACAGAAAGAAAUAAUCACAAUGCAGAAGUAAUUGCCAUCAAAGAAAAACAUAAGCAAGAUCUUGAUGUCCUUGUACAGGAACAAGAGAGAAUAUGGUCAGAAAAGCUUGCACUCCUUAAGGAGGAGACUGAUGCUAUGAUUAUUGAACUUAAACAGAAGUAUCAGCAAGAAUAUGAUGCACAAUUAAAAGAGAGAGAGUGUAAUUUCCAGGAGCAUAUUGAGCAAAUGAAUGAAAAAACAUUAGAAAAGCUAGAUUUAAAACAAACUGAACUGGAAACCCUCUCAGCUGAACUGUCUGAGGCUAUAAACGCACGGCAAGAGAUUGAGCAGAAACUUUUAGAAACAGAAAAUGAUACUCUCAAAAUUAAACAAGAAUAUGAUACCCUGAUAAAGGAAGAAAGAGAAAAACAUAGUGAAGAAAUUGGUUCCAUUGAAAGAGAAAAGGAAAUACUUACCAUGGGUAUUGAGAAAGAUUUGAAGGAAAAUAUUAACAACCUAAAACUACUGUUAGAUAAUAAAGAAUGUGAGUUGGAAGAAUUGAGAAAAGAAAAGCAAAAUAUGAAAGAAGCUGCUGAAAAGGCUGAAGCAGACCUUAAAGAAACAUAUACUCUAUUAGAAUCAUCCAGGCAUUCUCAUGAGGUUAAUGUACAUGAGAAAGAAAAGGCUAAUGAGCUGCAACUGAAGGAACUGCAAGAAAAUCUAAAAGGCAUGACAGAAGAACGCAAUCAUCUUAAAGAGGUGACGGAAACAGCAGAAACACAAUUAAAGAGUGUACAGAUAGAACUGGAUACAAGUAAGGCCCAAGUACAAAGCCUUAUGAUGGAGUAUGAAACCCAGGUAAAAGAUUUAAAGGUACAAAUAGAAGAAAUGAGCAGAAUAGCUUCAGAGAAUGAACAUGAAGUAAGAAAACUAAAAGAAGAACACAAACAAAUAAUUAUAGACCUUAACAAUACUAUGUGUGAAAAAGAGAAGAAUAUACUAGCUUUGCAAGAAGAUUAUAAAGUAAAACACAAAAAUCAGGAUGCUAAAAUGGACAAGUUAAGGCAAAAAUUAAAAGAGCUGCAAGAAUCAUCUAAAAAGAAAUAUUCCGAGAUGGAAACCAAAUUAAAGAAAGAGAUUGAUAAGAAGCAGAACGAGUUGAUUAACAAAGAAAAGGAAUAUAAUGAAAAGAUGCAUGAGAUGGCCCAAGCAAGUUCAACUGGAAUUAACCAUGCAAUGGCUCAGCUUGAACUUAAUCAUAAAGAGCAGAUUCAGAAUACCACAGACAAGCAUCAGAGAGAGCUACAAGAAACCACAGAAACUUGGGAAAAGAAAUUAAGCCAGCUUGCUGAAGAACUCAGAGAGAAGCACGAAGAAGAACUUCAGGAGAAAGAUCAGGUCAUAACAGAAGCAAGAACAGAGUUAAAUAUGAAAAGCAAAGAAAAAGAAGAUGCAGAAAAACAGAUAUCAUACCUCAAGGAACUGAAGACCCAAACAGAUGUCUCAUUUAGUGACUUACAAGAACAGCUACGUCAGUCAUCGGCUCAAGUUUUACAUCUGACGCAAAGUGGAAACGAGAUCAAGACACAACUUGAAAGGGUGGAGAAAGAUUGUGCUCAACUAACAGCAGAGAAGCAAAUGCUUCAACAGCAGUUGGAUAAUCUGAAAAUAUUAGCAGAUGAAGAUAAAAGCAAGGUUGAUGAAUUGGUUAGCAAAAUGAGAAUUGCUGAAGAAAAGUAUAAUGACUUAGAGACCCUGCACAAUAAAGUGAGAGUAGACUUUGCUAAGGAACUGCAGGAUACACUUGUUGAAAAAGAAAAUGAUUUUAAACAUCUUCUGGGUAAACAAGAAAACCAGUUGAUCUCUUGCUGCAAAAAUGCUGAAGAUUUAUUUGAAUCACUUGCAAAUGGACUCACUGAAAACCACAGAAAUCAAAUGGAUAGAUGGAUCGUUAAAAUAGCAAAUAUUGAAAGCUACAUGCAUAAACUGAAAGAGGUCACUUUCAAGCAACGCAGUAAAAUGUUUGAGCAAGAAAAGCAACUUGAACAGUUUUCAAAAGAGCUUCUUUCAGUAAACAAAUCUCUUAACCAGGUUACUCAACAUAUGCAGGAAAAAGAAAACAUUACUUCAUCUCUAAAGGAUGAGAUUGAAGCUCUUAAUUUUCAAAAUGAGUUGUUGAAAAAAGAAGGAGGAAGCCAACAGAAGGUUGCAGACGAGAAAGAAUCUUGCAUUACUCAACUGAAAAAAGAACUUUCAGAGAAAACAAAUAUUGUGACCUCCUUAACAGAAGUGGUAAAAGAAAGAGAAUCUCAGGUGUCUUCUCUUUCUUCAUUAAUUAAUGAGCUUAAAGUGAAACACGAGAAUUGUGUUGAUCUAACAGAAAAAGAAAAUGCCAUUGCUUUUCUCACUGCACAGCAGAAACAGAGUGAGCAGGAGCUACAAAAUCAAAUUCAGGAACUGAUGACAAAUAUUGAGAUUCUGAAUAAAGAAAAGUCAGCACACAUAGAUGAAGCUGCUAAGCUUCAAAAUAAGCUUGAUGAAUGGAAGAAAAAAGCAGAACUCAAAUUUGUGCAGAACCACAACACUAUUAAAGAGCUGAAAGAGAAAGUCGAAACAGUCAAUAAGCAUAUUGUUGAAAAAGAUGAGAAACUAAGGACCCUAACAGAGGAAUUUGAAUGUCAUCGUAGCAAUAUCAAAGAAACAGAACUCACAAGAGAAAGCAAAGAAUUGGACUUAAUCUCUCAGUUAGAAGGCCAGACAUCUAGAAUUCUGGAAUUGGAAGAGCAGUGUUUGAAGCUGAUGUCUGAAAACAAGAGUUUAAUGGAUCAAAUUGAAAUUAAAACUAUUCAGCAGAGUGAGGAAAAGAAAGUACUUGUUGAGCAAAUCCAAAAUGUUCAAUGUGUAUCUGACAAUAACACCAAGGAAGUGCAACAUAAAGUAUUAACCCUUGGAAAAGAAAUUGAUGCUUUAAAGGAAGAACUGGAAGCAAAGCAAACAAAAUGGCAACUGGAAAAAGCAGAGUGUUUUCAGAUGAAAGAUGAGGAGUUGAAAACAUUGGAAGAGAGACUAACUACAGAAAGUGCAAAUAAACUUUCAGAGCUGAAGAAAAGGGCUGAACAGAAAAUAGCUUCUCUUAAGAAACAACUUAUGUCUCAGAUAGAAGAGAAAGAGCAGUCAAGGAAAGAACUGGAAAACCAGCUUCAAAGCUUAAAAAUUAAUAUGCAGAAAGAAGGCCAGGAAGUGCAGGAAGGAUUGCAACAAGAAGUUAAAAAUCAAGAGAACAAAUAUGUGUUGCUACUGGAGCAGCAGAAGAAUACAGAGGCAGAUUUAACGAAUAUUAGGAGUGAGGUAAAAUCAAAAGAACAAAGAAUUAUAGAACUGGAAGAUAUUAUUAAAGAUGUUCAGCAAAAACUUUCUGAAAAAGAGUUGACAGAGAGUGAAAAGGAACAAGAGCUUUUAAAGGAACUAGAGGCACAGAUGCUGACAAAUAAUCAGCUAGUUUCUACACAUGAAAAAGCUUUAAAAGACCUGCAGGAUGAGAUCAAUGUUAAGGAUGCAGAGAUAAAGACCUUUAAAGAGGAAAUAGAUGGAAAAUUCAAAUCCUUAAAUGAACUCCAGGUGCUUUUUGAGGAAACUCAUUCUCAAGAGAGUGCAUUGAAAAUAAAACUGGAAGAAGUAGAGAGGGAGAAGUUAAAAUUCAGAAAUGAAAUAACUAAGCUACAGAAAGAUAUGCGCUCUUUACGUAAGGAACACAAUCAAGAACUAGAUUUGCUUAAAAAGGAGAUAACAGAGGAAGCUGAACAAAGAAUCAAAUAUGAACAGGAGGACCUGGAACUUAAGCAUAAUUCAAAAUUAAAGCAACUGAUGAGAGAAUUCAAUACCCAAAUGGCUAAAAAGGAGCGUGAGGUUGAAACAGCAGUACAGGAGACUAUUGCUAAAGCUCAAGAGGUGGAGGCUGAAUUAAUGCGAUCCCAACAGAUAGAAGCUGUCCAUCUUCAUAAAAAGAUUGCUGAGAAAGAAGAUGACCUGAAAAGAACAGUAAAGAGAUAUGAAGAACUUUUAGAAGGUCGAGAAGAGGAAAUGACAGCAAAAGUGACUGAGUUGCAAGAACAACUUGAAAAAUUGCAGGAAGAAUUAUCACUGAAAGAAAUGCAUAAUGAAGAAGAACAAAAUGUGGAGGAGAAAGCAUCCCCUGAGGUUUUUCAGGCACAGCUGGCGCAGAAGACAUCCCAACUCAAUGAAUACAAACUGAAGGAGCAGGAACUUAAAGAGAAGGUUCACAUCCUAGAAGACCAGGUGAAAAACUUCACACGUGGUGUAUUUUACUCUCCAAUUGGCACACCGUAUAAAGAAGUUAAUAAUCAACAUGCAGGUGUUUCUGUCUUUGGGGAACCCACAGAAUUUGAGUACUUAAGAAAAGUUAUGUUUGAGUACAUGAUGGGGCGUGAAACAAAGACAAUGGCAAAGGUAAUCACAACAGUGCUGAGGUUCCCAACAGACCAAGCUCAACAAAUUUUGCAGCGAGAAGAAAACCAACCACUGAGGACAAAUUUGCAAUCAGAGUUUCAACCACCGCUGAGAGACAAGAUCUAAAUAAAAAUCCUCGCAGUGGUAUGUUCUGAAACAGUAUGGGCGUAGUUAGCAUGUGGUCUUGGCUUCGAUCUUCCUCGUGAAGACCAUUUUCAGAAAUGGACAAAAUGAAAUCCUAGUCAAAAACUGACAUGUUAAUGUAAUCCCUUUGCCACUAAAAGGUUGUCUGAAUUUUUUCCCCAUUGUAUUAUAUUUAAAUUAAAUCAUUUGAGUAAUAAAGUGGAAGCUAAAAUAUAUCAGAUUAGCUAGCUCUGUUAAACCUACUGUAAUGAUUGUCGGCAUUUGCCAUAAACAUACCAAAUCCAGUUUGGCAUAAGGUCACAUUCAACAUUUAGCAAGGUCAAAUUUCGAAUUCACGUGAGAUUUUUUAAAACUCCCCUAAACUCCCAUAAAAAAUCGAUAUUCGACUUACCAAAAUGUAUUCAUAAAAUCCGAUAACGAAAAUUUAAUCAAACACGAUCAGAGUUUUUUCUCCGAAAAAAACUCAAAUGUCAGGAAGUCUGCAAACAUCUCCAGAUUGAUCCCUGGACCUCUCCCAUUGAUGUAAUUUGGCAGGUUUUUAGGUGUGCGAGUAGUCGAAUUCAUAUUCUUAAAGGCCCAGAGUAUGAUAAAUCUUGAAAAUCUAAUUCCAAUUAUUUUUAAAAACUAAUUUGAUAAAAUGCGAUAAUGAAAAUGUAAUCAAACUCGAUCCAACUUUUUUUCCCCCGGAAAAACCUCAAAUUUCAGAAAGGCUGCAUACAUCUCCAGAUUGAUCCCUGGACCUCUCCCAUUGACGUAAACAGUAAUUUGGCAGGUUUUAGGUUGUGAGUAGUCAAAUUCAAAUUCAAAAGGCCCAGAAUAUGAUAAAUCUCGAAAAUCUAAUUCAAAUUCGUUUUUAAAAACUCGAAUCGAAUUUGGAUAACUCCCUAGUCAACUUGACAGUUUUAACCAUAAAAAGUCGACCCUUAAUAAAUCUGCCCCUCAGUGUCUUUGCUUAUGGCAGUAUAAAGGUUCAAGGUUCAUAAUGAGCAAAUGUGCCAAUUUAUGAAUAACUCCGGAAGGAAGAGUUAAAUUGUAUUCCACUAUAAUAUUAUACAUUCUGGGUUUUUUUUUUUU